GAGUUUGAUCCUGGCUCAGAUYGAACGCUGGCGGCAYGCUUUMCACAYGCAAGUCGAACGGCAGCACGGGGGCAACCCUGGUGGCGAGUGGCGAACGGGUGAGUAAUAUAUCGGAACAUGUCCGGAAGUGGGGGAUAACSKWMCSRAARGKWMCGCUAAUACCGCAUAUGCCCUGAGGGGGAAAGGAGGGGAUUCGCAAGAACCUUUCGCUUUCGGAGUGGCCGAUACCGGAUUAGCUAGUUGGUGGGGUAAAGGCUCACCAAGGCGACGAUCCGUAGCUGGUCUGAGAGGACGACCAGCCACACUGGAACUGAGACACGGUCCAGACUCCUACGGGAGGCAGCAGUGGGGAAUUUGGACAAUGGGGGAAACCCUGAUCCAGCCAUGCCGCGUGAGUGAAGAAGGCCUUCGGGUUGUAAAGCUCUUUCAGACGGAAAGAAACGGUCGCAACUAAUACUUGCGGCUAAUGACGGUACCGUAAGAAGAAGCACCGGCUAACUACGUGCCAGCCGCCGCGGUAAUUCA
rnacentral:rRNA from 1 species